rnacentral:rRNA from 1 species
GACGAACGCUGGCGGCGUGCUUAACACAUGCAAGUCGAACGGAAAGGCCCUGCUUUUGUGGGGUGCUCGAGUGGCGAACGGGUGAGUAACACGUGAGUAACCUGCCCUUGACUUUGGGAUAACUUCAGGAAACUGGGGCUAAUACCGGAUAGGAGCUCCUGCUGCAUGGUGGGGGUUGGAAAGUUUCGGCGGUUGGGGAUGGACUCGCGGCUUAUCAGCUUGUUGGUGGGGUAGUGGCUUACCAAGGCUUUGACGGGUAGCCGGCCUGAGAGGGUGACCGGCGACAAGGGGACUGAGACGCGGGCCAGACUGCUAGGGGAGGCAGCAGGGGGGAAGAUUGCAGAAUGGGCGAAAGCCUGAUGCAGCAACGCCGAGUGAGGGACGACGGCCGGCGGGGUGGAAACAGCUUUGAGCAGGGAAGAAGCGAAAGUGACGGUACCUGCAGAAAAAGCGCCGGAUAACGACGUG